AGAAGAAAACUAAAAACUUGGCUCUGCGCCCAGGCAUUCAGCGAAUAAGCUCACUGGCUGAUGUAAUUGGGUCGCAAAUCUGUAAUUGUAGCAGUAGUGAAUGACUGAGGAUGGUGUAAUAUCACUGCCUUGCAGCGUUUUAAUUUUUAUAUACUUUUUAUCACAUUUUUAUCAUGUUUUUAUCAUGUUUUAAUUGUUUUGUUUUAUAGUAUAUUUGUUGCUGGCCCUCGUGGCAGAAUGUAAGCUGCUCUGAGUCCCCUUGGGGAGAAGGGCGGGGUAUAAAUGCAUGUAAUAAAUAAAUAAAUAAAUAAUAAAGGCAAACUGCGUUGGAUAAUACAGAACGUUGGAUAAGCGAAGGUUGGAUAAGUGAGACUCUACUAGUUAAACAGGGGAAUUGCAGGUAAGAAACAAUCAGGGCCAGCUAACACCUCCCAACAAAGGAUUCCCCCGGGCAGUAAACAGACAGACCUUGAACUGCAAGGCUAUUCAAUGCUGUGAAUUGCACAAUUCACACUUGCCUCAAACAGACAAGAACACUGGACCUUCCACAAAUAUAUACAGUAAACCCCACUUGUCUAGUUUUCAACAUACCUUACAACCUUUGAGGAUGCCUGCCAUAGAUGCAGGCGAUACAUCAGGAGAGAAUGCUUCCGGAACAUGGCCAUACAGCCCGGAAAAGUCACAGCCACUUACCAACUGAUCAAUGCUGCACUUGAAGAAGCGAAUUUGUUUCUUUAUGUUAGGGUGCACCUACACACUGAAGAAUGAAUGCAGUUUGACACCACUUGAACUGCCUUGGCUCAGUGCUAUAAAAUCCCGGAAUUAUAUUUUCACAAGGCCUGUAGUCUUCUCUGUGAAACAGUGCUAGUGCCUCAACGAACUACAACUCCAGUGAUUCCAUUGCGUUGAGCCAUGGCAGUCCAAGUGAUAUCAAACUGCAUUCAAAUGCAUCGGAUGUCUUCUUCUAAUCCAGCCAAUACUGAGCCCUCUCCUUAUUGCACCCACCUUCCUUUCCUAGCACUGAAAAAUCAACCUGCUAAUAAGGUCUCUGUUUCAUCUAAAAUCCUAUGAGACUCUUCCUAAAGCAGUGGUUCUCAACCUGUGGGUCCUCAGGUGUUUUGGCCUACAACUCCCAGAAAUCCCAGCCAGUUUACCAGCUGUUAGGAUUUCUGGGAGUUGAAGGCCAAAAUAUCUGGGGACCCAUAGGUUGAGAACCACUGUGGAACUAAAGACUUCUCUAGAACUAGAGUACGCUUGUUCACCCUCCAACAUCAUAGAGCUAUUGCAGUUGCUACAAAAUUUAGGUAGCAGUGAAAUGGAGUGUGACCUCAGAAGGACUGUGGGAGUCCAAUGCAACCUCCCCAAACUGAAGAAACGACCGUCUCUAAUUUGAAAGCACUUUGUCAUUAAUGGUAGAAAGGUGCUCAUUGGUUGCUUCUUCACCGCAAAGCACUGCUGAAGAGGUGUAACUUCAGAGAUGUUGUCUUCUUUGAGUGUCUUACUUUAGAGAAUUCAAUUUACAACAUAGUGAUCUAUGAGAAGUAAUAGUAAGUAAAUUCUGCAAGCACUCAGGCAUCCCAAUUGCAGCCUACAGAUACUUCGGUUGCGCUGCUGUAACCUCCAAUCCAAGUCAUGCAUGAAAUUAGCUGCUGUCAUUCUAAAACCAGAACCUGAGAGAGCUCUACUUGAGACUUUAACAAUAUAGAUGGACUGACAAAGCUCUGUGAAAUACUGAUACAUCUUGACUGCAAACUGCAGGUGCUCAGGCUCAAUUCAUGUGAACUAACCAAAGCAUGUUGUGAAGAUCUUUUUGAAGUUCUCAAAAAGAGUAAGUCUUUGUAAGAACUAGACCCAAGCAACAAUGAGGAUCUAAAGACAAACCUAGAAGCUGAUAAACGAAGCCAGAUUAGAAAACUGAAGCGGUGCAAUUUUAGAAUACAAACAUGGCUAUAGAAGAGCAAUGUGGGGAAAUGGUUUAGAAAAAAAGUUUGUCCUUUCUCCCUCAAGUCGGUUUGACACAGAAGGCUGCAAUGACAACCAAGACUGAAGUCACAAAGAAUAUGCAGGUUUGAUUGAAAAUGUUAGAGAAUCAUUGCUAGAAGCAAAGGAGAAUAUCUGUGCAGAUUGAAUUUAACAGAUUUGGUCUGUAGGAGAAACAGACUUAAUGAAUUGUACUCUUUUCAUAUGUCCUGGAGUCAGGUGUAUGAGAUGAAAACACAAUGUAACAAUUCUUGCAAUGCAUUCAGAUUUGGUCAUUAAGAAGUGAACACAUGCAUGUAUAACCCCCAAAGCCGUAAUGCAUGAAUGAGCUACUUUCUAACCCUUUAAAAAUUGUUUUGAAAAUUUUGAAAAAGAAAAAACCACUUUACCAAUAGAACAAAUUUCAAACACAAUAUAUAAAAUAAAAUGUCUAAUUUUCUAACCCAUGACAAAUAUUACAUGUUUAUAUAUUCUUAUAUUAGCUAAGGUUGUAGUCUUUAGAAUACCUUAAACAGAGCUAGAGGUCAUGGUUAUGAAGUUUCUGGGAGUUAUCAUCGAAAAGUACCUUAUCUAAAUUCUCAUAUUAAAUUUCAGUAAAUCCAGAUUUUCUUCUAAGUAAGCAUUGUUAAGACCAGAUUUGGAGACUCAUACAUUUAAACAUUAAAAAUACUCUGGAUCACACCGAACACUCAUUUAACCCAAACAUGGUUCCAGAAAGCUGUCAAGAACAAAUGCCUUACCCAAAACUGUUUCUCCAGAACUGUCCCUCAGUGAUAUAAUAUACAGGGAGCCUACUUUGAUUUCAUGGUAAAUGUCAGUUGGUAGACACAUCCUAUAUGAAUCUGUCUAUCAUCAGAUUGUGGUUAUUGCAGCAACAAUAAAAAUAGGGAAAUGCUCUGCCACCAUGCAAAUGAGUACCAGAUGAAUUAAAAACUUACC